CGGCCCCUCUAAAAAUAAGAAAGACCAAGUACCCUUCCUAGGAAAAAAGAAGAGAAAUCUGCCAGCCGCCAGUUUCCGUCCUGGCGCAUUUUGCUGGUGAGAUCGCCGCGGAUGCGUCUUCCUAUCGCCAAAAUUCCAUUUUACCGAAUGCACUGCCCGUCCCCCAUGAAUCCACUGCCGACGCGCGAUUCCGAGGGAGGCCCGAGAUCUGUUAGGUAGCGGUAGCAAUUAAUCUGGCAUGUGGCUGUACAGCCGGAAACGGAGUGAAAUUCCAAGACAAUCCCACCUUGAUUUUGGUGUGAGUGGCUGGUAUAAGCAAAGUAUUGUGGCAUCAAGACUCAGCCUUCAACAUGAUGCACUCCUACAAGCCAAUGCCAAGUAGGUCUGCAGCUUUAUGCAAACAGGAAGGUGAAAUAGCAAUGUGAUGAGGGUUUAAUAAUUCUUUUAUAUGGAUACUACUCCGGAUGGUAAAUACAUGUGCAUAAUUGUUUGUAAAGAUUUAACACAAUAGGAGAUUGCAAGGCAAAUCUACUGUAGAGCAAUGGGGAGAUGAGCAAUGGCGAGACGAUGUACCCGUUUCUCCAUGGACAAGCUUAUAGACUGAUUUCGAACUUGUUAGAAAAACUAUAUAAAUAUUUGGAGGAUUUUGUCUGGUCAAGUUGUAAUUCUUUGACAAAUGUACCGUUCAAUUGUAAAGUAUUGUUGCUAUGGGAAAUAACUACCUUUUCCGAAUA